UACGUAGGGGGCAAGCGUUGUUCGGAAUUACUGGGCGUAAAGCGCACGUAGGCGGCGAUUCAAGUCAGAGGUGAAAGCCCGGGGCUCAACCCCGGAACUGCCUUUGAAACUAGAUUGCUAGAAUCCUGGAGAGGUGAGUGGAAUUCCGAGUGUAGAGGUGAAAUUCGUAGAUAUUCGGAAGAACACCAGUGGCGAAGGCGACUCACUGGACAGGUAUUGACGCUGAGGUGCGAAAGCGUGGGGAGCAAACAGG
rnacentral:rRNA from 1 species